AGCAUGCUCAACACAAGUUGGUAGACCCAAAUAUCGCUCAAGACAAAGAACCACAGGAACUCCUAGUAAACGUUGUAUCUGAGCUUGCAUUUCAUGAGGGGUAGACGAACUAAAACAAAUGGUAGAUUUUUUCAGGUUUAUCUUUUGUCCAGAAGCUCUCUCAUAGAUCUCAAAAAUACGUUGUAGUUCAGCAACUUCA
rnacentral:lncRNA from 1 species